ACAUGCCUACGGGACGCAGCAGUGAGGAAUAUUGGUCAAUGGCCGAGAGGCUGAACCAGCCAAGUCGCGUGAGGGAUGACGGCCCUACGGGUUGUAAACCUCUUUUGUCGGGGAGCAAGACCCGCCACGAGUGGCGGAGCGAGAGUACCCGAAGAAAAAACAUCGGCUAACUCCGUGCCAGCAGCCGCGGUAAUACGGAGGAUGCGAGCGUUAUCCGGAUUUAUUGGGUUUAAAGGGUGCGCAGGCGGAAGAUCAAGUCAGCGGUAAAAUUGAGAGGCCCAACCUCUUCGAGCCGUU
rnacentral:rRNA from 1 species